UACGUAGGGUGCGAGCGUUGUCCGGAAUUAUUGGGCGUAAAGAGCUCGUAGGCGGUGUGUCGCGUCGGCCGUGAAAACCUGCAGCUUAACUGUGGGCUUGCGGUCGAUACGGGCAUCACUGGAGUUCGGCAGGGGAGACUGGAAUUCCUGGUGUAGCGGUGAAAUGCGCAGAUAUCAAGGAGGAACACCGGUGGCGAAGGCGGGUCUCUGGGCCGUAACUGACGCUGAGACGCGAAAGCGUGGGGAGCAAACAGG
rnacentral:rRNA from 1 species